ACACACACACACACACACACAGAUAUAUAUAGAUAUAUAAUUAUCGCUAUUUUUAAACAAAUAUGCAUAAUUAUUGCUAGUUAUUUUAAAUAAUUAUUUUGUGUGUGUGUGUGUGUGUGUGUGUGUGUGU